UUUUAUUUGGCAAUCUAUUGGAUUUGUAACUGUUUUAGAAGUACGGACAAAUUACUUUGUUCUUAUAUUUGGGACAUCAGAUCAUCAAGUAUUACAUGUGAAACUGAGACCUGUUGAAAUAAACACAGUCAGAUUGGUCAUUCUACAUGUACUGUGCUUUCUCAGAGGACAACACAUCAACAUACAUUCCUGCAUUAUGUAGUUUUAACCCAAUCUAGUCAGAACAAAUCAUGUAGCCAUUGUCUUCCACUACCCAUGUUUAUAUACAUGGGUUUCCACAUGCAUCUCACUAUCUCAGCCUGUGUCAGCGUCAUUGUCCUCUCAGCAGAGUAAUGAGCUGUAAUGCGCCUCUCGAGCUUCCUAUCUGUUUUUUUCUUUUUCCCUCCCUGACUUGACAUCCCAUGGGAAGAGCGGUCAGAGCAGAUCGUUUCUCUGUGGUUGACUUUAUCAGAAAAUUAUUUUACAGACAGAACAGAGCUAACUAAAAGCCGUCUGUGACAAAAACAGAGCCUAAAGGAGCGGAGGAAGACACGACUUGUAACAUUGGUCAUUUGAGAUGAAGAGUGCCAAUGAGUGACACGUAAAGUGAUAUGGGAAGAUGUGGAAGAGAGAGGAAAGAUGAGGCAGGAAAUGCUCAUUUUCAUUUACACCAGUAGUACAUUCACUUAUGACAGCUGACAUGAAAAGAGACACUGUAUAUGAGUGUGAGCAAGGAAAGUAGAAACAAUGCGUCAGAGAGAGGACAGAGAAUGUGUAACGAGGAUCAUGUUUGACUUAAAAAAUAGCUUAAACUCUAGAGUAAGAAGAAAUGAGUAAGAUAAGAAAAAAAUCAAAGAUGGGAAAAAAGUGGACAGGUUAGCUGUAUUUCUAAACUCUAACAAACAACCAAGAACUCAACCCCACAGUACAUAGUCACAAAAUGUAUCAGUGUUUGUGGUUCUUGUUUGGUCGGUCGAGGCUCAGGCGUUCAUCCACCACCUACAGUUAACAUCAAACAACACCCUUACUCCCUCCCGUCAGAUAGAAACAAUGUGUUUCUAGCUAUGUGACCCAAAACUUUUGGGGGUGACUCAGCAGACCCCACAAAGAAGAAAUCACGCAAACAUGAGCAUCUGUUUCAUUGGACAAGGCAAUGUAAAAAACCCUCCAAUCAGGCAGUUAGGUGUUUUUUUGAUUCUCUCUAUCUUACUGCUGAUAAUACCUGCCUACACAGCCCCAUGGGAGUAAAGGAUACCAACUCCAGGCGCCUGUUAUCAACUCCAGUAGCUCCAUCUACUCAGCCACCCAGGCACCUAGAGAGAUCACCAACAUCGAUCUUCACAGAAGGACUGGACGGGGCGAGGUGGCAACUAGACAAACUGAGAGACUACACUGAGGCACUGACUUCAUUCGGAUCCAACUUCCUGGAUUAUGAAUAAAAGUGCACAUGGCAAAGGUGGGGCCAAGAUGACCGUGUUCUACAUCAUGAUACAGAAUGGAUUUACAGUGACUCUAUCCAGCUGAGCACAUGUAAAAACUGCAGUGUGGUGACAUGAGGAUAUUUAAUGGAUGAGAAGACGGAUAAGUAACAAAAAUCAACAGCCUAAGUAAAUGUCUCGUUAAGGGUAUAUUAUUUACAAGCCCACACCACACUCACAUUCAACAGCCCUUAUGAUGAGGAACAGUUUGAAGAUCCCUUAACUCCCCAAAUAUCUGGUACCAGAGUGGUAAUAAGUUACACAUUUGGCAGAUAUUUUGAUUUCAGUAAUGAGGAUAUUUGGUGAAUGUAGUUAGUUGUAGUUGUAUUUAAUGUAGUUUCUGGAGAAGGCAAUGCAAGAAGUUGGACUGAAUUACUACAGGGAAGAAAAAAACGAAGUAGUACAACCAGGAAAUAAACUAUUACUUGUUUGUUCAAAAUAUCAUGACUUGCUGAGAAGUGUAUAAUGUAUUAUACUUAUGUGGUAUUCGCCAUGGAGACUUCACUGUGACAACCAAAGCCAAAAUGUUUGAAGGGAAAAAUACAUUACAAGUCUAGCACAUACAUAGGCCUAUUGUGCAUACACUCACUCACUUAGACAACGAUGGUAAAGAAGAUGCAGACAUAAUAAAGAAAUUGAUCGCUAUGCAAAUAAGAAACUUCUGCAGCACUGUAUACUGUAUAUUGUAAACAUACUGUAUGGCUAUAACAUGCUACCAUUGCAGCAUUAUGUAUACCUAACUUACAUGCAUGGCUACCAGCAGAUUUCUCUUUUACACAUCACUGUGCUCAUCAGGGUGCAAUUUGUGAAUAAACAUCUUGGGAGGUGGGGGGGGGGCAACAAUGCCAAAACGUGUAUUUAUAAACUUCAAUAUUCAAUGGAAACUAAUCCCAAAGUGAAAUAGAACAAUGUCGUGUCAACGUAAAACACAGCGCUUUCAGGCCAGAGCACAGAGUUCAUAGGAGUGUUCUAGUUUGCUCAGUGUUUCUUGGUAAACUGAACUACCAUGGCCCCUGAAAGGACCCUCAUCUGGCGGUGCCUCACCUAUUGGCAGCUAAAAAACUGCCGCUGUUAGUGGCGUCCCGGAGCUCUGUAGAGGCUUCAUACAACCAGCACCUGCCGCUCGGAUUUUAGCGUUCCAUGGCACUAUAGAGUGUUCAUUUUACAGCGCUUUAAUUAGUUUCAAAUACUUAAAUUCUAGGUAUAUAAUGUUCUAUUGGUCGAGAAGCAUUGAUCCCUUUCAGGUGGGGAUGCAUUGAGUCCCCACUGGGGAUAAAAAUGAUUCAGCAGAAGCAAGAAUAUGUAGACCAGAAAGGAUAAAAUCCCACAAAUCCCCCAUAGCAAAAAACACCCUGGUCCUCAUUGAUGGAGUAAAGUUUUCGCCUCUUCACAAAUACAUGUCAGUCUUUUGUACUUCUAGUCAAUAUAUAUGUUUAUGUUUUAGGUUUUGGCUUAACAUUUGAGUUUAGAUUUCCAUUAUAUGUUUUUUCUAUGUCUAAGUUUUAAGUUUCAUUUGAGAAAUUCCUCCCUUUGUAAAUUUUCAUUUAUGUCAUGAAUCAUAGUUCCUCGUCUUUCAAGAUUGUUUUGUAAAAGUGGACCUGUCUACUGUUAUGACUUCUGUAAUAUAACUUCAUUAAAUUAAUAAGAAUGUG